rnacentral:rRNA from 1 species
AUGGGCACACUGUGUGGAAAAAAAGUAGACAGAAAAUAUAUCCACAACAGUUGUGUGCAAACAAAACAUAGGCAAAUUGAAGCUGCUUUCAUGCAACUAAAUCAGCUCCAGCAGCCAAAAUAUAGCCACACUGUGUGCAAAAAUUAUGUGCAACAAAAAAGAUGUGCAAAAAACAUGGCAAGUAUGUCAACAUCCCAAGCAGCAAACCAGCAAACCCAGCCACUAUUGUGGCAACUGCAGCACCAAGUGAGCCAGCUGCAGGUCCAAAUGAACCAACUGUAUCACCCGUUGUGCCAACUCCACCAGCAAGUGAGCCAUCUGCAGACACAACUGUGCAACCACAGCAACCGGGAGGAGGGAAAAGUGAGGAUCCAUUGA